UACAUGGGGUGCAAACGUUGCUCGGAAUUAUUGGGCGUAAAGCGCACGUAGGCGGUUCGUUAAGUCGGAUGUGAAAGCCCUCGGCUCAACUGAGGAAGUGCACCCGAAACUGGCGAGCUUGAGUACGAAAGAGGAUCGCGGAAUUCCCGGUGUAGAGGUGAAAUUCGUAGAUAUCGGGAGGAACACCGGCGGCGAAGGCGGCGAUCUGGGUCGAUACUGACGCUGAGGUGCGAAAGCGUGGGGAGCAACAGG
rnacentral:rRNA from 1 species